GACGAACGCUGGCGGCGUGCCUAAUACAUGCAAGUAGAACGCACAGUUUAUACCGUAGCUUGCUACACCAUAGACUGUGAGUUGCGAACGGGUGAGUAACGCGUAGGUAACCUGCCUGGUAGCGGGGGAUAACUAUUGGAAACGAUAGCUAAUACCGCAUAAUAUUAAUUAUUGCAUGAUAAUUAAUUGAAAGGUGCAAUUGCACCACUACCAGAUGGACCUGCGUUGUAUUAGCUAGUAGGUGAGGUAACGGCUCACCUAGGCGACGAUACAUAGCCGACCUGGGAGGGUGAUCGGCCACACUGGGACUGAGACACGGCCCAGACUCCUACGGGAGGCAGCAGUAGGGAAUCUUCGGCAAUGGACGAAAGUCUGACCGAGCAACGCCGCGUGAGGGAAGAAGGGUUUCGGAUCGUAAAGCUCUGUUGUAAGAGAAGAACGGGUGUGAGAGUGGAAAGUUCACACUGUGACGGUAUCUUACCAGAAAGGGACGGCUAACUACGUG
rnacentral:rRNA from 1 species